AAAUUGAAGAGUUUGAUCAUGGCUCAGAUUGAACGCUGGCGGCAGGCCUAACACAUGCAAGUCGAACGGUAACAGGAAGCAGCUUGCUGCUUUGCUGACGAGUGGCGGACGGGUGAGUAAUGUCUGGGAAACUGCCUGAUGGAGGGGGAUAACUACUGGAAACGGUAGCUAAUACCGCAUAACGUCGCAAGACCAAAGAGGGGGACCUUCGGGCCUCUUGCCAUCGGAUGUGCCCAGAUGGGAUUAGCUAGUAGGUGGGGUAAAGGCUCACCUAGGCGACGAUCCCUAGCUGGUCUGAGAGGAUGACCAGCCACACUGGAACUGAGACACGGUCCAGACUCCUACGGGAGGCAGCAGUGGGGAAUAUUGCACAAUGGGCGCAAGCCUGAUGCAGCCAUGCCGCGUGUAUGAAGAAGGCCUUCGGGUUGUAAAGUACUUUCAGCGGGGAGGAAGGGAGUAAAGUUAAUACCUUUGCUCAUUGACGUUACCCGCAGAAGAAGCACCGGCUAACUCCGUGCCAGCAGCCGCGGUAAUACGGAGGGUGCAAGCGUUAAUCGGAAUUACUGGGCGUAAAGCGCACGCAGGCGGUUUGUUAAGUCAGAUGUGAAAUCCCCGGGCUCAACCUGGGAACUGCAUCUGAUACUGGCAAGCUUGAGUCUCGUAGAGGGGGGUAGAAUUCCAGGUGUAGCGGUGAAAUGCGUAGAGAUCUGGAGGAAUACCGGUGGCGAAGGCGGCCCCCUGGACGAAGACUGACGCUCAGGUGCGAAAGCGUGGGGAGCAAACAGGAUUAGAUACCCUGGUAGUCCACGCCGUAAACGAUGUCGACUUGGAGGUUGUGCCCUUGAGGCGUGGCUUCCGGAGCUAACGCGUUAAGUCGACCGCCUGGGGAGUACGGCCGCAAGGUUAAAACUCAAAUGAAUUGACGGGGGCCCGCACAAGCGGUGGAGCAUGUGGUUUAAUUCGAUGCAACGCGAAGAACCUUACCUGGUCUUGACAUCCACGGAAGUUUUCAGAGAUGAGAAUGUGCCUUCGGGAACCGUGAGACAGGUGCUGCAUGGCUGUCGUCAGCUCGUGUUGUGAAAUGUUGGGUUAAGUCCCGCAACGAGCGCAACCCUUAU
rnacentral:rRNA from 1 species